GCCUGUGUGGCUCAAUUGGUUAGAGCAUGUGGCUCUUAUUCAAGAUCUACCACAAGGCUGUGGGUUCGAGUCCCACCACAGGCU